rnacentral:tRNA from 1 species
GGCCUCAGUAGCUCAGUGGUUAGAGCACCGCUCUCGUAAAGCGGGGGUCGCAAGUUCAAAUCUUGCCUGGGGCUU